rnacentral:tRNA from 1 species
GAAGGUAUAGCUCAGUGGUAGAGCACAAGCUUAGCAUGCACGAGGUCCUGGGUUUGAUCCCCAGCACAUCUA